AAAAAAAAUAAAAAAAAAAUCACAACAUCAUAUAAAAGAUAUGUUAUAAAGCCAUACAGAAGGCUAUUAAUAUAUACAGGACAGCCAUGACAACUUGGUAAACCAGACAGUUAAGUACAGUUGGCAACUAAUUUUACCCUUCAUGACUGAAGAGGACAAAUGCCCAGCUCUGCAUCUUCACUUGCUACCUAGCAGUCUAGCAAGCAGAGCCACAUGUGUGACUCGGUGCUCUAACACCUGUCUGCUGCUUGUACGCUCAAUUCCCUGCACAGCUUCUCACUUCACAGAUCACCUUGAGAGAUAUGCGAAGUUCCUCCCUGGAUUAUUCAGGACCACUGGCCUCAAGAAACAAAGCUAAAUACCACUUAAACCAAUUUUAAUGUUAUACUGUCAAGAUGGAGACAACAAAUGACAGAGAGGAAGCCUGUGUUCCACAGCAAGAGAAGACAUCUGCUAGCAAGUCUGCAGGAAUGCAGCCUCAAAAACAAACACCUGACAUUUUGCAUUGUAGGUGCUGGCAAACAAGUUACUCAGAAGUGUCCCCCUUUGCAAAUAUUUUGAGGCUGGUCACUGAUUCACUGCCCAAGAGGCUGAAUAAGACCUGUAAAUCUUAAAAUUAUUUUUUUCAAUUAAAACUAAUGCUAGACAGCAAUGAUUUAUAAACAAAGAGCCAAGUAACAAUAAGCUCUUGUGUUGCCUUACACCCGCACGUUUACCUUUUGUCUGUAAAGAUCUGGAGAACAAGUUGUAAAGUUACGGUCAGCGAUAUGGCAACUCCAACCUUCACACUUACAUGCAACCCCAUUUUGUUUGGGACCAAGUCUCAACAGUAGUCUCAUGAUGAGAGUCCCUAUUUAUAAACAAAACUGUUGUCACUCAUGCAUUUUCUUGCAAUGAGUGUUUUGAAAAACACUGCAGAUAGCUAAAGUGUCGUUCCCAUGACAGUUUCUGCUUGUCAUUUUGUACACUUAUACAGCAAGUAAAAAAAGUCUGGAGAAAAUCACAUCCUCUGAUAAGAUUCAAGGCUUGCAAAACUAUGCCAUGGUAACAACACUGCUUGGGGACUGUGCGAGUUGGGUGUUCUACAACAGCACUGCCAUUAGCUGAAGAAGUGACACCAAAAAAAGCCUAGUGGGAUUGAUCUAACAUGGUAAGCUGACUACUGACAAGGUUUUGCAGUUUAUUGCUAUUUACAGGAAACUGUACAAACAACACAAGAACAGAACAGGUAUCUCCAGUGUCCUCAAGUGUCAAUAGAAACAAAGCAUUGUUGUUCAAGACAGUGGUUUGAGGCCAAUCUGCAGGAAUUAAGUGCAAGAUCCAGUGAAUUUCUAUGUAGUAGAGGGCAUUUAAGUUCCACUAAAAUCCUAACAUAUUUGGCCAACAGAUGAUGGGAACUGAGCUCCCAGACUGCACAAGAUCCAAGUGAGUUCUUCAACUCAUGCCUGGCACAUUGACAACUUUUGUUAUAGCUGAGCCAUCAGAGACGUACAGCAAUGGGGAUCAUUUCCAUUCCAUUCAUAAUUACCUCCAAAUCUCACUUGACAGUAC